AACGAACGCUGGCGGCAUGCCUAACACAUGCAAGUCGAACGAGACCUUCGGGCCUAGUUGCGCACGGGUGCGUACCGCGUGGUAACCUGCCCUUAAGUUCGGAAUAACUCCCCGAAAGGGGUGUUAAUACCGGAUAAUGUCUUAGGACCAAAGAUUUAUCGCCUUUGGAUGGGCCCGCGUUGGAUUAGCUAGUUGGUAGGGUAAAAGCCUACCAAGGCGACGAUCCAUAGCUGGUCUGUGAGGAUGAUCAGCCACACUGGGACUGAGACACGGCCCAGACUCCUACGGGAGGCAGCAGUGGGGAAUAUUGGACAAUGGGCGAAAGCCUGAGCCAGCAAUGCCGCGUGAGUGAUGAAGGCCUUAGGGUUGUAAAGCUCUUUUACCCGGGAUGAUAAUGACAGUACCGGGAGAAUAAGCUCCGGCUAACUCCGUG
rnacentral:rRNA from 1 species